AUUGAACGCUGGCGGCAUGCCUUACACAUGCAAGUCGAACGGUAACGCGGGGCAACCUGGCGACGAGUGGCGAACGGGUGAGUAAAGCAUCGGAGCGUGCCCAGUAGUGGGGGAUAGCCCGGCGAAAGCCGGAUUAAUACCGCAUACGACCUACGGGUGAAAGGGGGGGAUCGCAAGACCUCUCGCUAUUGGAGCGGCCGAUGUCAGAUUAGCUAGUUGGUGGGGUAAAGGCCUACCAAGGCGACGAUCUGUAGCUGGUCUGAGAGGACGACCAGCCACACUGGGACUGAGACACGGCCCAGACUCCUACGGGAGGCAGCAGUGGGGAAUUUUGGACAAUGGACGCAAGUCUGAUCCAGCCAUGCCGCGUGCGGGAAGAAGGCCUUCGGGUUGUAAACCGCUUUUGUCAGGGAAGAAAUCUUCUGGGUUAAUACCUCGGGAGGAUGACGGUACCUGAAGAAUAAGCACCGGCUAACUACGUGCCAGCAGCCGCCGUAACAC
rnacentral:rRNA from 1 species